rnacentral:rRNA from 1 species
CCUACGGGGCGCAGCAGUGGGGAAUAUUGGACAAUGGGGGGAACCCUGAUCCAGCGACGCCGCGUGAGUGAAGAAGGCCUUCGGGUUGUAAAGAUCUUUAAGCAGGGACGAAGAAAUGACGGUACCUGAAGAAUAAGCUCCGGCUAACUACGUGCCAGCAGCCGCGGUAAUACGUAGGGGGCAAGCGUUAUCCGGAAUUACUGGGUGUAAAGGGAGCGUAGACGGCUGUGCAAGUCUGGAGUGAAAGGCGGGGGCCCAACCCCCGGACUGCUCUGGAAACUGUAUGGCUGGAGUGAGGGAGAGGG